rnacentral:rRNA from 1 species
UAGUCCACGCAGUAAACUAUGAGUGCUAACUGUUGGGAUCUUUGAUCUCGGUGGUGUAGCUAACGCGUUAAGCACUCCGCCUGGGGAGUACGGCCGCAAGGCUAAAACUCAAAGGAAUUGACGGGGACCCGCACAAGCAGUGGAGCAUGUGGUUUAAUUCGAUAAUACGCGAAGAACCUUACCAGCUCUUGAAUCCUGAUUACGAUUUUUCAGAGAUGAAUUUUUUCAGUUCGGCUGGAUCAGUGACAGGUGUUGCAUGGCUGUCGUCAGCUCGUGUCGUGAGAUGUUAGGUUAAGUCCUUUAACGAGCGCAACCCCUAUCUUUAUUUGCCAUCAGGUUAUGCUGGGAACUAUAAAGGGGACCGCCAAUGACAAAUUGGAGGAAGGUGGGGAUGAUGUCAAGUCAUCAUGGCCCUUAUGGGCUGGGCUACACACAUGCUACAAUGGUGAUUACAACGGGUUGCAAAAGAGCAAUCUUUAGCUAAUCCCUUAAAGAUCAU